GUCUGUGUAGUGUAGUGGUUUAUCACGUUUGUCUUACACACAAAAGGCCCCAGGUUCGAGCCCUGGCAUAGACA
rnacentral:tRNA from 1 species